rnacentral:rRNA from 1 species
AUUGAACGCUGGCGGCAGGCCUAACACAUGCAAGUCGAGCGGAUGAGAGGAGCUUGCUCCUUGAUUUAGCGGCGGACGGGUGAGUAAUGCCUAGGAAUCUGCCUGGUAGUGGGGGAUAACGUUCCGAAAGGAACGCUAAUACCGCAUACGUCCUACGGGAGAAAGCAGGGGACCUUCGGGCCUUGCGCUAUCAGAUGAGCCUAGGUCGGAUUAGCUAGUUGGUGAGGUAAUGGCUCACCAAGGCGACGAUCCGUAACUGGUCUGAGAGGAUGAUCAGUCACACUGGAACUGAGACACGGUCCAGACUCCUACGGGAGGCAGCAGUGGGGAAUAUUGGACAAUGGGCGAAAGCCUGAUCCAGCCAUGCCGCGUGUGUGAAGAAGGUCUUCGGAUUGUAAAGCACUUUAAGUUGGGAGGAAGGGCAUUAACCUAAUACGUUAGUGUUUUGACGUUACCGACAGAAUAAGCACCGGCUAACUUCGUGCCAGCAGCCGCCGUAAUAC